UACGGUAGGGUGCGAGCGUUGUCCGGAAUUAUUGGGCGUAAAGGGCUCGUAGGCGGUUUGUCGCGUCGGGAGUGAAAACUCAGGGCUUAACCCUGAGCCUGCUCCCGAUACGGGCAGACUAGAGGUAUGCAGGGGAGAACGGAAUUCCUGGUGUAGCGGUGAAAUGCGCAGAUAUCAGGAGGAACACCGGUGGCGAAGGCGGUUCUCUGGGCAUUACCUGACGCUGAGGAGCGAAAGUGUGGGAGCGAACAGG
rnacentral:rRNA from 1 species